rnacentral:lncRNA from 1 species
GUUUAACUACAACAAUUAAGAUUGCGUCCAAAUUGAUCAUAAUUUCAAAUGCGGUUGUUGAAGGGAGCAAUUUUAAGUAAUAAAUCAAAUAUUUAUUUUAUUUUUACAUUGAUUGGAUAAUCUCAUAAUCAUAUAUAUAAAAAAGUUCGGAUACUAUACUAUCGAUAGUACCAAGCUCUUAAUACUAUCAAGUCUUCUGAAUCAUACUAUUCCCACCCGCUAGAUUAUACUAUUCAACCAACUACCACUCAGCCUUAGGGGAUCACUGUCAUCCUAAUCGAAGACCAUUAUCAUCCUAACCGUACAUCCUUUCAUCCAGUAGUUGAAAACUCGAUUGUACUAAGCGCUUAGUACUAUCAAUGGUAUAGUAGCAUAAUUCUAUAUAAAAUGAUGAAAUUCGUAAAUAUAAUUCCUGACUGAAUACAAUCAAAUAAAUUAUUUGUAGCACAAUUAUUUUCUAUCGUAUCAAACCAAAUAACCUAAAAUAUAUAUUAUAAUUACUGUAUUUUCUAACUGCUCUCUAAUGACACUAUAUUGCCAAUUAAAUCC